rnacentral:rRNA from 1 species
GAUGAACGCUAGCGGCAGGCCUAACACAUGCAAGUCGAGGGGCAUCGGGAUUGAAGCUUGCUUCAAUUGCCGGCGACCGGCGCACGGGUGCGUAACGCGUAUGUAACCUACCUAUAACAGGGGCAUAACACUGAGAAAUUGGUACUAAUUCCCCAUAAUAUUCGGAGAGGCAUCUCUCCGGGUUGAAAACUCCGGUGGUAUGAGAUCGGACCCGCGUCUGAUUAGCUAGUUGGUGAGGUAACGGCUCACCAAGGCGACGAUCAGUAGCCGACCUGAGAGGGUGAUCGGCCACAUUGGGACUGAGACACGGCCCAA